AGGUGACAGUGUGUUCCUUUGAAGUUCCCAGGAGAGGCUUCCCCGUGGCUCCGGUUCGCCCGCGCCUCGCCCAUUGCAGGGUGACUUCAGGAAGGUGAAACACACAAAGCAUCUCAAAAGAACUUCCUGAGGCACAGAUGCAGCCAAAGAGGAGGAGACCCUGAAGAGCCUGAAGAGUGGAUGUUCUGCAGCAAGUCACCUCAACUGUGCCCAGGCAGGGCACAGCAGCUCAGUGUUUGCCCAUGGCACCUGCUCCCAACCCUACCACUGGGACUCUGAGGUUCCAGGUACCCAAGAACUGUGCUAAAACCCCCUUAGAAAGCAGAGCAAUGAGAUGAGAACCUGCUCCAUCCCCAGCACCAUCAGUUCUGACACGUCACACUGACACAGGUAUCUCUGUGUUUGAGUCUCCUCAGCUGAGAAGAGCACUGAAAAGAGCCAGCCUUCAUCCUUCAAAGUGCUGCCACACAGCAGCAAAACACACCUCCUGGCCAGUUAAUAAAUGCAUUCAGUGAAAUCUUUGAAGGGUGUUUUAAGAAAAGGGAUGUGAACCAUCACCUGAGGUUUGCAAACCCAAAACCUACCAGCAGAAGGAUGGAGAAUGUUGCAUCAGUCUCAGGAGGAGGAACAGCAAAGCCUUGGGCAAAGCCAUCUUGGGAAUGAUUGAGGCACUGCAGGGAGCAGCAGAGAGCGUUGGACAGGCCACAUCUCAGGGGGCACGUGGAGCUGGCUGGAAUCUCAGCAGCAAAAGCUCAAAGCACUAGAAAAGGAGCAGAGAAUUUGUGAGAGUGACCUUAUCAUUUUCCUGAUGCUCCCUCUGCUCCUCUGUCUCCAUCUCCCUGUCCUCUGGGAGGCAGCUUCACUGAACCCAGGAAAACAAGGUCUUUGGUUAGCCUGCUCCGUGGUCUCAGCCCCCAGUGAAAUGCAAGCUGUGACAGCUGUGCUGAGGAAAGGCUGCCCAUCUUGGCAACAAUGAAAGCACUCCAAAGGCAAUAGUGAAGUACUAAUAGCUGGAACAUUGUUGUUCUCUUUCCUUGAGAGCUAAAGUCUCAGUUUUGUUAGUCACCCAGGCCAGAUGUAACUGUAUGAGCCACAUCACUUCAUGAGCAGCAACGUGCCCUCGUGGGCAAGAGGCCAGUGGCAGCCUGGGGGCAGCAAGAGUGUGGGCAGCAGGGUGAGGGAGGUUGUGCUGCCCCUCUGCUCUGCCCUGCUGAGGCCUCAUCUGGAGUCCUGUGGCCAGUUCUGGGCUCAGCUCCAGAGGGACAGGGAACUGCUGCAGAGAGGCCAGGGCAGGGGCACCAAGAUGCUGAGGGGACUGGAGCAUCUUCUUAUGAGGAAAGGCUGUGGGACCUGGGGCUGUUCAGCCUGGAGGAGACUGAGGGGGGAGCUCAGCAAUGCUUACAUGUAUUUGAAAGGUGUUUGUCAAGGGGAUGGGGCAAUGCUUUUUUCUGUGGUGGCCAGAGACAGGACAAGGGGUGAUGGACACAAACUGGAACACAAACACUUGAACAUGAGGAGCAAGUGCUUUGGUGCUGGGGUGAGGGAGCCCUGGCCCAGGCUGCCCAGGGAGGGUGUGGAGGCUCCUGCUCAGGGGGUUCCCAACCCCACCUGGACAAGUCCCUGUGCCCCCUGAGCCAGGGGAAGCUGCUGUAGCAGGGGCUGGGUGAGCCCUAGAGGUCCCACCCAGCCCCCAGCACUCUGUGGUUCUGUGUGACUCUGUAUUUAU